GAUGAAGAACGUAGCGAAAUGCGAUAAGUAAUGUGAAUUGCAGAAUUCAGUGAAUCAUCGAAUCUUUGAACGCACCUUGCACUCCUUGGUAUUCCGAGGAGUACGCCUGUUCGAGUGUUAUGAAGCUCUCAAAACGCAAUUGGCUUAAAACCUGAUUGUUGUUUUGGAUUUGAACUUUGCCGUGUUAUAACGGCUGUUUUUAAAAGUAUUAGCUGGUACUAGAACGAAUUGGUUCUACUCAACGUGAUAAUUAUCUGAUCGUUGAGGACAUUCCUUUCACGAGGAAUGGCCAUAGUAAAUUCAAUGGACUGCUUCUAAUCUGGCUUUAAUUCUUUAUUGGAUUAACCACUUUUCAAAUCUGACCUCGAAUCAGGUGGGACUACCCGCUGAACUUAAGCAUAUCAAUAAGCGGAGGA
rnacentral:misc_RNA from 1 species